rnacentral:rRNA from 1 species
UGAGGAAUAUUGGGCAAUGCCCGCAAGGGUGACCCAGCAACGCCGCGUGGAGGAUGAAUGUCGUAAGAUUGUAAACUCCUGUUAGAGGGGAAGAAUAGUACCGGUUGGACCGGUAUAUGACUGUACCCUCAGAGAAAGCCCCGGCUAACUACGUGCCAGCAGCCGCGGUAAUACGUAGGGGGCAAGCGUUGUCCGGAUUUACUGGGUGUAAAGGGCGCGUAGGCGGCGCGGUAAGUCACUUGUGAAAUCUCUGAGCUUAACUCAGAACGGCCAAGUGAUACUGCUGUGCUAGAGUGCGGAAGAGGCAACCGGAAUUCUUGGUGUAGCGGUGAAAUGCGUAGAUAGCAAGAGGAACACCUGAGGCGAAGGCGGGUUGCUGGGCCGACACUGACGCUGAUGCGCGAAAGCCAGGGGAGCAAACG